CAGUCGCCGCGGGAAUACAGAGGGUGCGAGCGUUAAUCGGAUUUACUGGGCGUAAAGCGUGCGUAGGCGGCUUUUUAAGUCGGAUGUGAAAUCCCUGAGCUUAACUUAGGAAUUGCAUUCGAUACUGGGAAGCUAGAGUAUGGGAGAGGAUGGUAGAAUUCCAGGUGUAGCGGUGAAAUGCGUAGAGAUCUGGAGGAAUACCGAUGGCGAAGGCAGCCAUCUGGCCUAAUACUGACGCUGAGGUACGAAAGCAUGGGGAGCAAACAGGAUUAGAUACCCCUGUAGUCCCUGUCUCUUAUCC
rnacentral:rRNA from 1 species